GACAGAGGCCUCAAGCGUUAGGCGGAAUCACUGGGCUUAAAGCGUGUGUAGGCGGAUCGUUAAGUGUCUUGUGAAAUCCCACGGCUCACCCGUGGAACGGCUGGGCAUACUGGCGAUCUUGGGCCAACUAGGGGCAACUGGAACAAGCGGUGGAGCGGUGAAAUGCGCAGAUAUCAGGAGGAACACCGGUGGCGAAGGCGGGUCUGGGCCGUACGUGACGCUGAGGAGCGAAAGCGUGGGGAGCGAACGAG
rnacentral:rRNA from 1 species